rnacentral:lncRNA from 1 species
AUGAGGAUACUUCUUUAUGAAUUGUGCUUAAUUUUCUUACCUGGGAGAAAUGAAGCUGGCUAUAACACUCAUCUAGGAUGGUUGUUAGCUUAUGAACAUGAUGCUGGCCUUACUGAAGACAAGGUGAUGUGCUAUGAUUAUCACAGUAUGGUACUGAAGAAGGACACAGAAGGCUGCAACAAUAAUGAGAUGAACAUAUAUUUGUGGCAACAUCAAAUGGAGCCUGGCUCAUGGCUUCAUGUGUGA